CCCACUAUUAAAAACCCUCAGCAUCAAAGCAAACCCUGUAAUUGCUCAUUCUCAAAGUUCACUGUCCACAAACUGGUGUGAUAUUUUAACUAAUGAUUAAAUAGCAAGGCACAUCUUUCCUCUCCCAGGGAACUUUAUUUCUGCAGCAGGUAAAGCUUUGAUUUGAUGAGCCUCCCAGGACUCCCCAUCCUGUGCUGUGCCCAAAUCACACAGCUCAGUGAACUGGGUGCAAGAGCCCUCUGGAAUUCAUCAAGGUGACUAAGGCAUAAAUUGUGCUAAAUUAAGAAAGAAGAGGCUGAGAUACUAAAUACCAAGACCAAACGAACUAGUUAAAGGAGGGUGGUGAAGCACCUGGACUGUAACCAAUCCCAUAUCCUGAAAAUCACGUGCAGGAGGCGUGGACAAGAUAGAGGCACCAAUCAAGAAAUGCUGAGCGUGUGUGCAGUGGUGUUAGAAUGCACAAAUAGAGCGUAAUGUAAACAAUAAA